UACGAACCGUGCGAACGUUAUUCGGAAUCACUGGGCUUAAAGGGCGCGUAGGCGGGCCACCAAGUCAGGUGUGAAAUCCCACGGCUCAACCGUGGAAGUGCCCUUGAUACUGGUGGCCUCGAGGGAGGCAGGGGCGUGCGGAACUUUGGGUGGAGCGGUGAAAUGCGUAGAUAUCCAAAGGAACACCGGUGGCGAAAGCGGCGCGCUGGACCUCGUCUGACGCUGAGGCGCGAAAGCCAGGGGAGCAAACGGG
rnacentral:rRNA from 1 species